rnacentral:rRNA from 1 species
AGUGAACGCUGGCGGCGUGCCUAAUACAUGCGAGUCGAAGGAAGUGGCGCACGGGUGAGUAAUAUAUAGCUAAUCUGCCCCUUGCUGGAGGACAACAGUUAGAAAUGACUGCUAAUACUCCAUAGCAAGGGAUGAGACUAUAUCGUAACAGCUAGUCGGUGGGGUCACGGCCUACCGAGGUUAUGACUCGUAACUGGUCUGAGAGGAUGAUCAGUCACAUUGGAACUGAGAAACGGUACAAACUGAUACGGGAGGGAGCAGUAGGGAAUAUUGCGCAAUGGGGGAAAGACUGAGGCAGCAACGCUGCGUGGAGGAGGACACUUGGCGGAGCGUAAACUCAUUUUGUUAGGGAAGCGGUAACUAACGAAGAAGCACCGGCUAACUCCGUGCUAGACGACGCGGUAAUAC